GAAAUGAGCAGAUAGAUCAAGAAACAUUCUUUGUAAAUGAUAUGGAAGGUGUUGCACGAAAAAUUAGUCAUAAAUCAAAGUUGUUUUGGUUGUUGACUCGGAUAAUGCAGAAGAAGAAGGGCAAGAAGAAUAGAAGGAAGGAAGAAAGGGCAAAAUUGUUUACGACUUUAUGUGCUGAUUUUGAUGUUCGGUAUGAGCGGAAUCGGAAAUGUGGUUUUGAUGAUACUUUUCCUCCUGUUUGUGCACCUUGACAAGCUCUUUUUCUACCACCCCGAGGGCCUUGUUUGUGCUUGACCCCAAUCACAUAAGUAUAUAUCCUGUGUUGUUUUGAUGCUGUACUUGUUUCGGUUUUAUGGGGGGACAAAAUAUUCUAGAGAGCUUCCAGUACUUGAGCAGAUGCAUCAGCUAAAACGAUUUGCUCGGACUAGAUAAACGUUCUAAAAAAGCUACUCUAUUGCCUGUGGGAUAUUUAAGAAUAAGAAAGCUAAAUGAAAAAGACAUAUUUCACUAUAUAAACCCCAAGAUACGAAUGAGAAGUGUCUUGCAGAUAAAUCCAAUGCGUUACCCGACAUGGAGUGGGAGGAUCCUGUGAAAUUUUGGAUUACUGAAGAGCAUCAGGUACUUUCCGGUAGCAAUAUCAAGAGAAGCCACCGAAAUGCCAAGCACACAAUGGGUAGGAGAAACUAACCUCGAUGCAAGGCUGAAACACAAUCAAGAAAGUGACGAGGAUUGCCUAUAUAGCACACAGGCAGAAGAUUCAUCUGGAGUACAAAAAUGGGGCAGUCACUGGGAGGCUUUGAACACCCUCCCCGAUAUUGCGAGAACGAACUUGAUUGGGCUCACAUGUGUCACUAUUUCACCACAGACGACUUCAAGAGCCUGUUUAAAUUGUCUGAGACCAUGGGGUAGUGUUAAACGUGUUUGUAUAACAUGUGAAGUUGGAGGAGGAUUAUAUUUUGAUGUUCCUUGUAUAAAGAACAACAUAAAGUUCAAUUUUGGGUCUUCAAUCAAGGCAUUAACAAGAAUAGCAUCAUUAACAUGGGAUCAAUUGGUAACUUGCGAAUGAUACCAUUUUGUUGUUGGACAUUCACCGGAGUUUCUUUGAAUGUAGUGUUUCUUCAGCUUGAUGCUGUGCCUGUUAUCAAAGCUGAGAUUAAAGCAGCUAGAGAAUUGAUUCUUGAGAAGAAGAAAGACGGCCUUACUUGCCGUUAAAGAAGAUAAAGACCCAGGAAGAAUUAUUAAAGCAAGUUGAUACCUGGAUCAUGAAUGUUGAGCAACAAGUAAGUAAUCUGCAAACACCGGUGUGAUCAACUACUGACAGCACUCGCUUCAGAAGCUUUAUUGUUCUUUUGGUUAAGUGACUUUAACCCAUUAGCAUAUUUGGUGUCCUCUGUGUCAUAUAAACCUGAUAUCACCAAAAUUUAGAGGGUCUGCUACUGGUAGUUACUGUCAACAUAUGUAUGAAGUUGGCUUCUUUGUAAGUUGAAUAAUGCUAUUGAGCCAGCCAUUUGACAAGCCUUGCCUCUUCAAAGUUGAUAGUGUGAGGAGGUUUGGUGGGAUGAGUUUUGAUUUAUGUCGAA